rnacentral:rRNA from 1 species
CCUACGGGAGGCAGCAGUGAGGAAUAUUGGUCAAUGGACGAGAGUCUGAACCAGCCAAGCAGCGUGAAGGAUGACGGCCCUAUGGGUUGUAAACUUCUUUUAUAGGGGAAUAAAACGGUCCACGUGUGUUAUUUUGUAUGUACCAUAUGAAUAAGGAUCGGCUAACUCCGUGCCAGCAGCCGCGGUAAUACGGAGGAUCCGAGCGUUAUCCGGAUUUAUUGGGUUUAAAGGGAGCGUAGGUGGAUUGUUAAGUCAGUUGUGAAAGUUUGGGGCUCAACCCGCGAAUUGCAGUUGAAACUGGCAGUCUUGAGUACAGUAGAGGUAGGCGGAAUUCGUGGUGUAGCGGUGAAAUGCUUAGAUAUCACGAAGAACUCCGAUUGCGAAGGCAGUUCACUGGACUACAACUGACGCUGAGGCUCGAAAGUGUGGGUAGCAAACAGGAUUAGAUACCCUAGUAGUC